CCCUUAGAUGUUCUGGGCCGCACGCGCGCUACACUGAUCAGUGCAACAAGCAUCCGUCCUUGGCCGACAGGCCCGGGCAAUCUUUGAACGCUGAUCGUGAUGGGGAUAGACUUUUGCAAUUUUUGGUCUUCAACGAGGAAUUCCUAGUAAACGCAAGUCAUCAACUUGCAUUGAUUACGUCCCUGCCCUUUGUACACACCGCCCGUCGCACCUACCGAUUGAAUGGUCCGGUGAAGCCUCCGGAUUGGCGCGCACCUCGGUGCCGCCGAGAAGUUGGCUAAACCUUACCAUUUAGAGGAAGGUGAAGUCGUAACA
rnacentral:rRNA from 1 species